CCCAUCCUUCUCUGUUCCUGUGGCAGAGACGCGCGGCGCAGUCUGCUGUAGACUGGUGACCGAGAGCCCUUCUCCGUCGUGCGGUCCACUGAAACCCACGACAACUGUACCGCGCACUAAGACUGCACGCGCCAAAGGCGUACAACCCACAGGACGCAGCGACGGUAUCGAAACGAUGAAGACAUAACGCUCUCCAACGGGAGUACACCUCGCAUUUGCUUUCCAGUACCUGUUCUCUUCUUUCGGACUGAGCAACAUUCAGCUCCCAGAAUGGGCUCUCCAGCUUAGCGAGGAGAGUAGGUGGAUGUAUACCCUGGAUGUAUUGGGAGCGAGCGGCGCGUCGGCAGCUGGACGGUCCGAGUUUGCGAGCUGUGAGUGAGCAUGGUGUUAUAAGAGGCUGUGAAUAUCCUGCGUUGGAGAAAUCAGACCUAACUGACUCACAGUAUCCUGUGAGGCAGUGCCACUGA
ensembl:lncRNA